rnacentral:rRNA from 3 species
AGCAACAAAUGCCCUGCUUCCAGGAAAAGCCUCUAAGCAUCAGGUAACAUCAAAUCGUACCCCAAACCGACACAGGUGGUCAGGUAGAGAAUACCAAGGCGCUUGAGAGAACUCGGGUGAAGGAACUAGGCAAAAUGGUGCCGUAACUUCGGGAGAAGGCACGCUGACACGUAGGUGAAGUGAUUUACUCAUGGAGCUGAAGUCAGUCGAAGAUACCAGCUGGCUGCAACUGUUUAUUAAAAACACAGCACUGUGCAAACACGAAAGUGGACGUAUACGGUGUGACGCCUGCCCGGUGCCGGAAGGUUAAUUGAUGGGGUCAGCGCAAGCGAAGCUCCUGAUCGAAGCCCCGGUAAACGGCGGCCGUAACUAUAACGGUCCUAAGGUAGCGAAAUUCCUUGUCGGGUAAGUUCCGACCUGCACGAAUGGCGUAAUGAUGGCCAGGCUGUCUCCACCCGAGACUCAGUGAAAUUGAACUCGCUGUGAAGAUGCAGUGUACCCGCGGCAAGACGGAAAGACCCCGUGAACCUUUACUAUAGCUUGACACUGAACAUUGAGCCUUGAUGUGUAGGAUAGGUGGGAGGCUUUGAAGCGUGGACGCCAGUCUGCGUGGAGCCGACCUUGAAAUACCACCCUUUAAUGUUUGAUGUUCUAACGUGGACCCGUGAUCCGGGUUGCGGACAGUGUCUGGUGGGUAGUUUGACUGGGGCGGUCUCCUCCUAAAGAGUAACGGAGGAGCACGAAGGUUGGCUAAUCCUGGUCGGACAUCAGGAGGUUAGUGCAAUGGCAUAAGCCAGCUUGACUGCGAGCGUGACGGCGCGAGCAGGUGCGAAAGCAGGUCAUAGUGAUCCGGUGGUUCUGAAUGGAAGGGCCAUCGCUCAACGGAUAAAAGGUACUCCGGGGAUAACAGGCUGAUACCGCCCAAGAGUUCAUAUCGACGGCGGUGUUUGGCACCUCGAUGUCGGCUCAUCACAUCCUGGGGCUGAAGUAGGUCCCAAGGGUAUGGCUGUUCGCCAUUUAAAGUGGUACGCGAGCUGGGUUUAGAACGUCGUGAGACAGUUCGGUCCCUAUCUGCCGUGGGCGCUGGAGAACUGAGGGGGGCUGCUCCUAGUACGAGAGGACCGGAGUGGACGCAUCACUGGUGUUCGGGUUGUCAUGCCAAUGGCACUGCCCGGUAGCUAAAUGCGGAAGAGAUAAGUGCUGAAAGCAUCUAAGCACGAAACUUGCCCCGAGAUGAGUUCUCCCUGAGACUUAAAGUCUCCUGAAGGAACGUUGAAGACGACGACGUUGAUAGGCCGGGUGUGUAAGCGCAGCGAUGCGUUGAGCUAACCGGUACUAAUGAACCGUGAGGCUUAACCUUACAACGCCGAAG